AUUGAACGCUGGCGGCAUGCCUUACACAUGCAAGUCGAACGGUAACAGGUCUUCGGAUGCUGACGAGUGGCGAACGGGUGAGUAAUACAUCGGAACGUGCCCGAUCGUGGGGGAUAACGAGGCGAAAGCUUUGCUAAUACCGCAUACGAUCUACGGAUGAAAGCGGGGGAUCUUCGGACCUCGCGCGGACGGAGCGGCCGAUGGCAGAUUAGGUAGUUGGUGGGAUAAAAGCUUACCAAGCCGACGAUCU
rnacentral:rRNA from 1 species